UAACACGUAGGGGGCAAGCGUUGUCCGGAUUUAUUGGGCGUAAAGAGCUCGUAGGCGGCUUAGUAAGUCGGGUGUGAAACCUCCAGGCUCAACCUGGAGACGCCACCCGAUACUGCUAUAGCUAGAGUCCGGUAGGGGAGCGUGGAAUUCCUGGUGUAGCGGUGAAAUGCGCAGAUAUCAGGAGGAACACCAGCGGCGAAGGCGGCGCUCUGGGCCGGAACUGACGCUGAGGAGCGAAAGCGUGGGGAGCAAACAGGAUUAGAUACCCUGGUAGUCCACGCCGUAAACGUUGGGCACUAGGUGUGGGUCGUUAUCAACGCGAUCUGUGCCGUAGCUAACGCAUUAAGUGCCCCGCCUGGGGAGUACGGCCGCAAGGCUA
rnacentral:rRNA from 1 species